rnacentral:lncRNA from 1 species
UUUUAUUACUCAUGCCAUAGUACAUAUCAGAGACAGACUCGCACAUGGACACCGACUAUCCCUAGUGCAAGUGGCAAAAGAGCUUGGUAGUUGGUAUCCGAGACUCAAGUUCGAAUUCUAAUUGAUUUAUAUUUUUAGUUAAGUUUAUUUCUAAAUGAAAUAAACGGUAAACGAAGCAGAUAGCAUACUACCUUUCUCUCUCUCGAAAAAAAAAAAAAAAAAAAAAAAAAAAAAGAAGACUGGCACAUGGACAUGAUUUUAAUAUUUUAUAUUUAACACGUAAACCUGUAGAUUCAUGGGAGCAAGUGGGGCUGAUGUUGGUAACUUCGUUCAACUGCGCCUAUGUGUUGAGCUUCUCCAACCUGAUGCUGGUUCCUCUGGGCUGGGCCUGGGGCCUCGCCUGCCUCGUCGUCAUCGGCGUCUACGCCUUCUACGGCAACUGGCUCCUUGCCGGCCUCCACUUCGUCGACGGCCAACGAUUCAUCCGCUACCGAGAUCUCAUGGGAUACGUCUUCGGUCAGUAUACAAAUAAAUUAAUCAGCGUAAAUAAAUAAACAUUCUUUUCGCUCUCGCUUCUCCUCUUACUUUUGAUCUUGCACUAACCACAAGGAUAUAACAUCACUAACAAGUCAAUCACCGAACAAUAAAUUUUGAUUCAAAGUUUAAUUCAUAUUUGCAAUUUAAAUUUAUUUUGAAAAAAUAAACACAAUACUUUUUUUUUCCUAAAGUAGAAAAAAAAGAAACUGGUGGAUGGACAAUAAUGUCAUUGGCAUUUAUAACGUGAUAAUUAUAAAAAUCAUCUCGAAGCUCGCGAGAGUCACAUGCCCUUUUUUUAAAUUUUUUUUUAGUGACUAUAAUCCAAACAAAUGAGCAAGUCCAAGUACAUCAAAAAUUAAUACUAUGAAAAUACGAAUUAAUUAGAAUUCGAAUUUAAAAUUUCAGACGUCAAUCAUCAAAUUUUUAAAAUUAAUAAAAUAUUAUUUUUCUAAUUAUAAAACCAUACCGAUAAUAUUAUAUUUCUUAUUAUUUUUUUAUGGUAUUUUUCUAUUGUACGAAAAACCUACUUUGUUUAAAUUAUCUUACACGUCUACAUUAGUGAACAGAGAAGAUGACUAGCAUAUUUGGAAAUUGGCGACCCUUUCGCAUAGGACAAAAUUGGGAAAAAAAAAAAAUAGAGAGAAAGAAAUAGAGACCAAGAAAAAAAGGGAGAGAUUUUUGGUUAAACAAAGAAUAAAAGUUAAAGCAAUUAUUGAACUUUGACUUGUAAGAACGUAAGAUGUAGUAUGUGAAGCCAACGUUGGAUACUUGUUUUCUCACCUUACUUUGGAAUUAUUAUACCGGAAGUUAGCGUCUUUCUAAACUGAAUCAAAGUACAAUAUGGUUGAGCAACCCUUAAGUAUAGUAUAGCAUCCGUUUCGUUUUAUUUUUUAAAAAAUAAAUUUAGGUAAAAAUAUGAAUCAACUAGAAUUCAAACUUAGAACCUCAAAUAUCAAUCAUCAAUCUCUUCGUCACUUACGUUAGGGACAGUCGGCAUUAUAAUAUUCCAAUUGAAAGCCAACUGCGACCGUUAUAGUAGCAUAUUAUUCACUUCAUUUUUUUUUCAGAAAUAAAAUUACUUUAAAAUAUCAAGCAAUUGUGCUUUAAACUUAAGAUCAUCAAUUCUUUUGCCAUUCGUGCUAAAAACUGUCUGUAAAGCCAACGUAUUAUUAGUAGAUAUAUAUUAUGUGGAUUUAUUAAGAUGUACUUAUUCUUAUUGGUAUUGAUCAUAGUACAUACUGUAUCAAAAAACUUAGUUAAAGAACAAAGAAACACUGCAUUAUUUGUUCAACGUCUAGCAAACGGAUAACUAAGGAUGUGGUUACGAUUUCUUUUUGCUUUUUUUUUUUUCCGUAGCUAACAGAUCCAUCUCUUGUUGUCUACUUAAGAAAAAAAUUAUGAUUUUUCAAAAUAGUUAAUGAUUUAUUAUAUAAUUCAAAAUGUUUUCUUUUAUUGAUUUUGUAGGGAGGAAAAUGUAUUAUCUCACAUGGUUCCUGCAAUUCAUGACCCUACUUCUUGGAAAUAUGGGUUUUAUUCUUCUAGGAGGAAAAGCAUUGAAGGUACUUCAAUUUCUUACACAAAAGUUAGUUAGAAAGAGACCACUAGUUUAUUUAUUCUUCAAAUUUUACAUAUUUAAUUCUAACACAAGGUUCAGGAAGUAAAAUGCUAUUGGAUUUAGAAUUGAGGACUUUAAAUACGACAAGAUUUAAUUUUUGCAGUUCCUUUGACAAAAUUUUCUUGUAAUCAGGAAAUCAAUUCAGAGUUCAGUGAUUCUCCGAUGAGGCUCCAGCUGUUCAUCGCGGCGACUGGCCUUGUUUACUUCAUUUUCGCAUACUUUGUGCCCACAAUGUCAGAUAUGAGAAAUUAUCUAGCGACCUCGGCGAUCCUCACGGUCAUCUAUGAUGUUGCUAUCCUAGUGAUCGUAAUCAAAGACGGUAAUCAACGCGAAUUUAGUUUUCCCGGGCUUAAAUUUGUUUGAUGAUGUAUAAUUCUUUCACGUGUCUUAAUUUCUUACUUGUGAUGUAUGUGAUCAAAUGAAGGAAAAUCAAAUAAAACGAAGGAUUACAGAAUUCACGGAAGCCAAGCAGACAAAGUUUUCAAUGCCUUCGGUGCGGUUGCCGCGAUUCUUGUCUGCAACACCUCUGGCCUGCUGCCAGAGAUACAGGUACAUAUGUUGCAGUAGAGUAGAAACCACGAAGCGGCGUUUCGAUUUCGACGACGCGAAUGUUAUAUAACUUACCGAGCACUUCUUUUGCUGCAAUCGUUUUUACUGCAGUCGACUCUUCGCAAGCCAGCAGUUGCGAAUAUGAGGAAAGCAUUGACGAUGCAAUUUACGGUCGGCCUCGCAAUUUACUACGGAGUGAGCAUAGCUGGUUACUGGGCAUACGGAGCUUCAGUUUCGGAGUAUCUUCCGAACCAGUUGAGUGGCCCUAAAUGGGCAAUUGUGCUGAUCAAUUCCACUGCUUUUCUGCAGAGCAUAGUCUCCCAACAUGUAAAGUUUCCAUUCCAAAAGCAAUUACAAAUUUAAAGAUUGAAAUUUAAUGAUAAACCAGUCACUAACAAGUUCAUAUAUUUGUUAUGAGAUCAGAUGUUCUGCGUGCCGAUUCAUGAGGCACUAGACACAAGAUAUCAGAGACUGGAAGAGGGCAUGUUCUCAAAGUAUAACCUUUUCCGCCGCUUCUGCUGCCGCGUGUUUCUUUUCGGGUUUAACUCGUUCGUGACGGCCUUGUUUCCCUUCAUGGGAGAUUUUGUGAACCUCUUUGGAUCUUUCACUCUCUUUCCACUGACAUUUGUGUUCCCUAGCAUGGUUUUUAUCAAGGUAUGAACUGCUAAUACGCGAAACCAGUUCCCCGAAAAGCGCAAAAUUUUUUCUUCUUAGUCUAAUUCUGAAAUUGCUGAUCCUCACUAAUGCAGAUUAGGGGGAAGAUUGCUCGAAGAGAGCAAAAGAUCUGGCAUUGGAUGAAUAUAAUUUUGUCCUCGCUGCUAUCCAUCGUUACCACUGCCGCUGCCGUUCGAUUGAUCAUAAAUAAUGUUAAAAUUUACCAUUUUUUCGCAGAUACAUGACGACUUCAGAUUUCAGAGAUCGAUACCUGCAGUUAGUUUGAAAUGUCAUGGCCAUGAUUCUUUUGUUUGCUUGGAGAGAAAAAAAAAAACAACCACCUUGAGAAUGCAUAUAAAUAGGUGAAGAAAAUGUAAUUAAGCUUCAAAUAUGGAGCAAAAUAAGGUGAUAAGAAGAAGUGGUCGUCAACAGUUUAUGGAUUUGCGAUAACAUACAGUUACAUUUGAACUUGUAAUGUUGUUUUUAUCGAUUCUACUUCAGAUGAAUUUCUACUUGAAACACUGGACUAAUGUGUGAUUAGUUAGAAUGGAUUUAUUUACAUUCAAAAGCUAUAAAAAGUACUUCAGGAAAAUUGUGCAGAGUAAGAAUGAGAAAUGAAUUUUAGAUACAAGCAGCUUCAUUCUGGCCGCAUUCUUUGCCUUUCAAUUUAUGUUCUUUUUUCUUACUAUUGAUGUGACAGUAGCUCCAGGCCCAACCACAAAUUAAGGUCAAAUUUAGGCACCGGUUUAAAAUAUUUAAUAAUUGUUUGAUAUGGAUAUUUCCUCGUGCCAUAGAAAGCUAUAACGUUUUGCUUUUGAAAAAACUUUAAUACUUAUUAUAUUUGGAGGAUUAGUAAUUUUUUGUUUUAAAGAAAAUAAUAUGUUAAUUUAGUUGAAAAUAUAAAGUGACCUGGUCAGGGUCUCGGAUAUCAACCAUUAAACUUUUGCUAUUUUGCACUAGGAAUAAUUGAUAGAAUAGUAUUUCAAUCUACAAAAUAAUUUAUUUUAUUUUAAAAAAUAAUUUAAAAAUAAAAUAUACUAUUCAAUUUAGACAUUUGAUUGCACAAUUGAUAAUUAAACCAUUGGUUUCCCACUUUUACCUGAUUUCUAUUUUAGUCCUCAAUUUUUAUCUUAUUGCCAUCACAUGCGUGACUUGUAGAAUUACCAGCAAUAUAAGUCACUGACUUUUUUGAUCUCCAGUCUCUUCUUCCAUUGUGGCGAGUCCAAUCCCAUCAUACUUUAAUGUUAUCUUAUUUCAUGUAUCUUCGGCCAGUUCGUUAUUGCAUCCGAUAUUUACUGUCUCUUUUGAAGCAUCUAGCGUUUUUAACUUUCAAAAAGAUUAUUAUUAUGGUGCUUUUGGUUUGUGCUAUCUUUUAAAGAUUCCUAAUAAUUUAAUAGAAAUAAAAAAAUAUGACGGCAUUUGGCUAAACGCACUAAGUAAUCUAGCUGGUAAUAUUGAAUUCACUUGGAAAUAAGAUUAACCCCAAAGUACUAAUCUCAUUCCUUUGAGAGUAUAUUAAUGGAUUGGGAUAAUCAUAAUAUGUCUAAUUUCUUUCUUUCUCCCUACCUGCCGGCUAAUUGAUAUUAUUUUUCUUUACACUCUAUCCUUAUAUCUCUCUCUAAACUUAUUUUUCUCUCUAAAAUUCAACUUUUUUUUUCUCUCUCUAAACUAAGCUUUCUCUCUCUCUCUUUCUAAAAUUUCAACUCUCUCACUCCCUCUAAUUUCGACUAUAUUUUUCUUUCUAUUUUUUUAAUUAUACUUUUUCUCUCUAACUUAUACUCUCUCUCUCCCUUUUUUCUAAAUAGAUGUUGAAACUUUUGGUAACAUUAUCUAAAAUUAAUUAAAUUAAUUAAUUAAUUAAUUGUAUAUUUUUUGUAAUAUUAAAUAACAUGGCUAAUUAACAUUACCGUGCGAACCAAACACAGGAAUUCCACAUUCUUAGUAAUAGAAUGAAUAGGAAUAAAAUUCUCGGAUAUCUUUUAUUCCUAGUAAUCUUUCAUAAUGCGAACCAAACGCAUUCGUUUAAAAAAUUUAAAAAAAUGGUAUUGAGCAGGCAAGAAUUUAAGUGCCGUGGCACGGGAGUCGUGCCGGAAACUUACCAGCACGGUACAGCACGGUGCGUGCCGAGCCGUGCCGAUGCGUGCCAGUCAAAAAAAUUUUUGUGUGCCAACACAUAAUAGUAUGAAAUAUUUAUUUUCUUAAGCAACAAAAUAUUCUAACUAUUUAUUAUGUCUUUUUAUCACAUUUUUUGAACUUUAUUGAGAAAAUUACUUAUUAAUUUAAAAAAUAUAGAGUUUUGAACUGUGCCAUCGGUACGGGAUCUAUAUCGUACCGGUAUCUUAUUGGCACGAUACAAUACAGUGGAUACAUCCCGUGCCGACGAGCACUUAAAACUUUAGAAGCAGGACAAAAGAUAAUUAAAUUAUAACUAUAAUUUAUUAUAAUUUAUUUAAAUAGAAAGGACUCUAUUGGAGUUGACGCAACCUAAAUGUGAAUCGUAGACGAUUGGAAGUUUGGAACCUAAUUAAAAUAAGAGGUUAAUUGCAUACAGCUCCUCGUAAAUAGAUCGAAUAGCAAAUAUAUUCAUAUACAGUUCAACUUUUCAUAUUUAUCUCUGUGAAAUUCUAACAUUUUCAAAUAUUAAAAUAUACCCCUAUUAUUAGGAUCAGUUAGAAAAAAAUAGUUAACCAUAGAUAAAAUACUUAGCCAUCAUUAGUUAAUAAGGUAAAAUUAACCUUUUUACCUUUUUUAUAUUAUUUGUGAAGGCAGAAAGAAAAAAGAUAAUCAAUGAAUUUUUUUAAAAAAGCAUUUCUGCAUAGUUUUAACAGUUAGGGCUUUUAAAGAUACAUAUUUAUGAUGACAAAAAUGUCAUUUCACUUACCAUUUGUUAAAAAUAAAUAGAAUUUUAACGGUAAUAAACCAAAAGAGCAAAUAUGAAUAUCACUGAACUUUUUCAGAAAUAAGUUCAGAGAUAAAUAUAAAAAGUUGAACUUCGUAAAACUAUAUUUGCUAUUCGAUAUGUUUACAUAGAGCCGCAUGAAAUUAACCCUAAAAUAAAGAUACAAAAGUUAGGAACCAAAAACUUAAAAAAAAAAAAAAAAAAAGGUCAGGGACUACUUAAAGAAGCAGGUAAAAGGUUAGGGAUCGAUGGUUCAACCAACCCUUUUUCUGUCCUGGGUCUUCUUUUUCUCGGGUAAUCUGAAGAAGCGAAAAGAGGAGGAGAUGAAGCUCUCACUUCUGCCGCCUCUAUUGAUCCUCUGCUCGGAUCUCAUCCUCCAGCCCACCCCUCCUCUCCUGACGGCACUUCCCUUGCCAACACCCACCGCCCACUCCUUUUCCCAAACUGGUAAUCCAGCCUUCUUUGAUUUCUUUGAUUUCGGCCAUUUUUCUUACUUGAAUUUCGGGUCCAUCAAAAAUUAACUGCCCUAUUAGCAAAAUCAACAGUAUCAAAUAUCAAUCGAAAAUUAAAAUAAAUAAAUAAACAAAUAAAGUUCGGAGCCCUGUAUCUUCAUGGCCGACGAUUGAGAAGUUACUCAAUACUUGUGCCACGUGUAAAUCUUAUAUCUCAUUCAUGUUAAAAAAAAAAAAAAAAAAAAAAAUCAAUAUUAGAAACUUAAAAGAACUGGAUGAACCUUGAAUGAGGGGAUAUAAAAUUCACAUCUCAGUUUGGGCUCUACAAGAUAGCAUUUCUCUACCGUAUUUUAUAGAAAUAACUACCUAUACAUUCUAUUACAACUCUAUUAUAGAAUAUAAAUCUUAUGCUCCAUCAUUUAAGGGUGGAUAAGACUUGAAUAAAUAUGAACUUUUGAUUUAAAUGAUGGAUGAGACUAGUGAGUAAAUAUGAACUUUUUGAUGGACUAAGAUAUAAAAUUGUAUACCUUAUUAUAUAAGUAGGAAAUGCAUGUAGCACUGCAUUGCUCAUCUAGAAAAAAACUUAAAACUUUCAGAUUUGUCAUAUGGACCAUGCAGGUAAUCUAAUCACUGUGAGCCGCACCCCGAAUAAAAUCUACCAUCCGUUGACGGGAUCCUGCGUCCUCCGGACGUCCUUAUCAGACCCACUGAAGCUCGGCGCUUGCGACCGAUCCGAUGCGUGGAAGUACACGCCUCAGAAGUUUUUGGUUGUAGGAGGUACAUACUUCUGCUUGCAAGCUGCAGCGUCCGGAGAGCCGGCAAGACUCAGUAUCAUCUGCUCUGAGUCUGAUUCCCAAUGGGACUUAACACCGAAUGCGAAGUCAUACGUAUCAACAAAGCUAGAGGAUGGGAGUGAUUUGUGCUUGGAUGUUGAUUCGGAGAACACGCUUGUAACCAAUCCGUGUUUGUACUAUCGCAGCGGCGACGCAAUGGAUUGCAACUCGGAUAGCCAACUGUUUGAGUUUGGCGGUCGAAGCUAGUCUUCAAUAGAUACCAUAGAGACAGAAUUCAAGCUUCGCUGCAGAGCUUCUCUUCUUCUAUGCUAUUGUAUGAAUGCUAGAAGUAUUGUUCACUGUGCUUUGCAUGACAAUAAUGAUAGGUUUGGAGUAAUGCAUUUGAGUGUUUAUGUAUCACACAGAAGCUUUCUUGUCCAAGAACUUAAUUGUCAUACAGAACAGACUUUGAAUUGUUGAAAUCAAUUAUCUUUGAGGGAUUAUGCAUUUAUCUUCUGGGGGUGUAAUGUCUGCUAAUUCAACUCUCAGAUUGAUAGUUAAAUAUUAUAGUUAUACGACGACAUAGAAACUAAAUCAACUGACAACAACUGACACCAUCAUUCAUUCGUGCGAAAUACCGGUAAAGUUUUGACAGAAUGACCCGAUCCGAACAAAAGUUGCAAUUCAAAGCUGCAUAGAAACAAAUUGAAGCUCCACGGCCUCACCAGAGCUGCUUCACCAAAAGUUACAGUGACCAAUGGUGUAAUUGAGCCUUCCAACAUUCAGUUACAGCAUAAUACGCGGGGCAGCAAAGGAGAUGGAAUGAGAAGAUUAAAAAUUAUAGUGAUUCACAAAAGACGACAUAAAUAUAGAAAUUAUAUCUAACAAUUCGAAAUUUCUAUAAACAAGCACACCCUUCUCAAAUAGCUAACCAAGAAAAAGUGCUCUUAAGCUGUGGAAUUCUUGGCAGAUGGAAAAUGGAGAAAAAAACAAUAAUAACAACUACUGAAUUAUUAAUUUACCUUCUAAUCAAGAGAUCAAUCAAAUUUUCUAUAUGAAUACAGGAAUACAGAGGGACAAACUAGAUGAGGGGUUCCGACAACUCCAUCUCAUUAGAGUUUUCUUGUAUGUCGGCUUGCUGGUAUCGUACAGAGUUGAGACCCAGCCAUUGCCACGGCCAGCAAAUGUACCUAUGACUGUUCCGGUUCGUUGUCUCGCCCCUGCUAUCAUAUUCUUCGAGCUGCCGAGUAAGUUCCUCCAACCUCUCACGCAGCCUCGCGGCUCUCAAAUCCGCCAAUCUUAAGGAUUUCUCAGCCGCAUCUCUUGCCGCCAUCGCCGCAGCUGCAGUUUCUUCCUUGAAUUUUAGUUUGUUUUCUAACUCUACCAUCGCUUGCCUAGUGUCUUCUAGUUCCUUCCGGAGAGCUGAUAUCUGCAUGAUGAAGAUAAUUUCCAUUGCACAUAUGAAGAUUCAGAUCAGAUUUUCUUUGAGGUCCCAAAUGUAAUGGAAUUUGAUAUUGAGGAUAGUUUAAUUUCAGGAUACGCAUUAUGACAGUUAUUUCCUUUAGAAUGACUGUUAUAAGAUAUUAUAAAGAAUUCCUGCUAAUUACUAUGACGGUAUUAUCACCAUAACCAGCAUUAUACGAGCCUUUUUAGCAUCAUAAACAAAAUGCUAAUGAUAUUAUUUAUAUUAUUAAACUUAUGUCACAAAGGCUUUAGAGAUAAUCUAUUACCAAAAAAAGCGAGAAUAUGAUAAGAACUCACUUCAGCAUUUGGAACAUACAGACCAAUCAUUAGAAUCAUCAAACGUUGAUGGCUUAAGUAAUAAUCAGGUCAUUACUAGGAACUGUUCGAGUACUUUGGUUGUUUGAGAUUCAAGAUAUAAGACAAAUGUGAUUGAUUAUUAGUCUAUACUACUCUACAGUUAGCAUAAACAAAUUCUAAAACAUAGAUGAUGAUCCAGUAGAUAGAGCACCUGUGUUUGAAGCUCCUGUUCAACUGCUCCACCAGCUGCAGCUUCUUGCUCUGCUGCUACUUUCCAUCUUGUGAUUUCUUCUUCAGCUGCUGCAAUAUCUGUCAUGAGGCCUUCAACCUUCAAAAUAUAAUAUCCACAGCAAAUAACUGAUUAGCAUGCCCAUAGAACACAAAAAGAGAAAUCCUCAAUAAGAGUAUCUCAAAAGGUUGCAUGUUGAUAAGUGAAAGCAACAUUACGUUUUCGUUCGCUACCCUCUCUUUCUCCUCAAGUUCCUUUAUGCGUUGCUUUUGCUGGCUAAUCUCUUUAGCUUGUGCAUCUAAACGAGCUUUAAAUGCACUAGACUCUGCCCUUAAUCCAGUAAAAGAAGUGUAAGAGAGAAAGCAAAUUAGGAUGAUUCAGACUAAUGAGGUAGAAAAGAUCAUGCAGAGGAAGUAGUACCCAUCUUAGAUAAUGUUAAAAAUUGCAUUUGAAAGGAUUAAUCAGGACUUUUUCAUUCAAAAGAAAAAUAAAAGAAGAAAAAGUCCAGGGAAAGAGUCCUCAUUUUCUUUCAGAAAAUAUCAAUAUUAGUUUUUCUAAACUAUCACUUCUAAUCAAAGAAGUAGAUCAUGUACGAAAUUACAAUUUAUAAGAAAGUUCCUACUUUCUGGAGAUACAGAUUUAUAAGUCAAAAUUUGAUAGCAUAUGUUAACUUUCCAGAGAGGAACAUAAACUUACCUGCUCUUUAUGCUAUCUUUUAUGUUUCUUCUGUAAGCUUCUACUCAUUUUUCAUUAUUUCGCUAACAAAUUAUCAAUUUUGAAACAGAACUGAUGAUUGAAGAAAUGCAUCCUCCGUAAAGAAAAGUGGUCACAAAGUGCAUAUGAAAUUAUGAAUAAUACAAGAGAGUAGUUUUCUAAAUUCUGACUUCUUAAGUCCUACAGAGAUUAUUUUCUACUAAUUGAAGAUCAGAAGCAGAAGUUCAGGAUUACCAGCGGGUUUUCCAACAUUGUAGUCACUAUAUCUACUUGGCCAAUAGCGGUUAACUGUAAAUAGAAAUGUUUCUGACUCUAGUUCUUAAAAAGAAUUAAAAAAAGAAAAACAAUUAUGCAAGACACGGUUUGUGAAGAGUAAAAUGGAACAAUUGAUGCAAAAUGUUUCCAAAGUUGUUUGGUAAAUCUUAAUCAAUUUGAGAGUUGUUCCAAAAUUAUGUUAUUGAGCUUCAAGACUACCUAAAAGUGUAUAGCAGGAUAGAAUAAGAUACUCGACAACUUUUGCAUACUAUCACUAAAAUUAAAUGAUAUUCUUGGACCUCUCUCCCGUAUAAAGGGAUGGGCAGAUUAUUUCCAUCACCAUUCCACAGGCUUAUGAGCUAUCUCCAUAUUGCAUCACAGCACAAGGUGCCAACCUACAAAUCAAAUACAUAGGUCUAUUCCUAUUUGGACUACAGCAGAAUACAAGCACCCGUCUAGCACGAGAACUUAUAAAAUCAAUUUGUGCAAGAUCAUGGUGAAGCUGCUCUAGGAAAAAUAAAGAACACAGCUGAGAAUGACAGAUAAAAUGGGAUCAUUUCUUGGACAGUAACAUAUUCGGAAUAUCAAGAGUCAAGAAAAACAGCAAGACACUGAUUCUGGCGUUAAAUUAUUUAAACUCCUAUCUUUUAAGCAAGGGCACAAAUUACUCGGAUGGUGUCAACAGAUAGAAUGCUAAUUACACAAAAUCAUUCCCUUCCCCUCCUGCCCUUCUUUCCGCAGCCACAAGCAGGAAAAGAAUUAACAAUUCCUAGUUAAUAAGAUUGACAUAGACGAGAAGUACCAACCAAGGCUGCAAGGAUCAGGUUAAAAUAUAAGCUAAUAUCGUCAUCGGAGCAAAAGGCCAACUAAAUUUAUCAAAAUAAGAAGGCAAAGGUACUUAAAAAGUAAUCCAAAGAAGCAUAUGCAUAAGGGUUUGUCAUUUUCAAUAUGGUGAUUGCUGUUACUGAAGAGAAUUAUCCACAAGAGAAUUAUCCACGCACUAAGUACCUGAGCGCCUCCACCAAAUGCUGUAGCUCAAUGAUCUUAAGUUGAGAUUCCUUUACGGUGUUCUCCAAAGCACCAGCCUGUGAGACAGAACACAUUGAAACUUCAUGUCAACAAUAGAGUGCACAUCAUGCAUGACUUUUAAUCAGAAGAAAAGAAUAAGCGCGUACCAACGUAUAGACUUCAUCCUCUUUAAACCCCUCGUCGUCUGCAACGUGCAACACUUUGUUCGGAUCGGACGAUAGAGAUCCUCUUAGCAAAGUGCUGAUAUGCUGUUUCUCUUCCAAAAGAGAAACUACCUUCUCAUUGAGAGAUACCGCCUCUCCAUUCAUUGCCUCUAUUCUUUCUCUUACUUUCUCUGCUGCCGCCUUCGACAGCUCGUAAACCGAAAUCAUCCCUUCCGACGAAGUCUUCAAAUCAUCACUCGUCUCAAUCUCCUUCCGCACGAACAGCAGGUCGGGCGGAUCCCUGCUCUCCGGCUCGUUCGAAUCCACGAUCCCGACAAUGUCAUUGAUUUGCUCGUAGACCUUGGAGAUGUAAUAGAGAUGAUCGACGAGCACCGUCCUCUGCAAGGCCGAUUUGGCCUCCAAGCUCUUCAGCUUGCCAUCGCAGUCCUCUCCGAGCUGCCUCAGCUCCGCGAUCUCGCCCGCCAUGUCGGAGAUCUUCGCGUCCCUGUCGGCGAGCGACCUCGUUAGCUUCUCGUUCUCGCCGCGCAGGCCGGCGAUGGUGGCUUCGAGCUGCGAGACCUCGAUGGCGAUCUCGUAGUUGCGCUGCUCGGCCUGCUCGCGGGCUUGGUCGCGGGACUUGGCGGCGGCGUCGACCUGGCGGAGGAGCUCCUCGACGAUCUCGUUGGUGCGCUUGACGACGCCGAAGGCGAGGGCGGGGAGGCCGGCGGCGUACUUGUGGGACUUGGGGAGGCCGUCGGGGGGGAAGGCGCGGAAGGCGGAGAUCUUGCCGGAGAUCUUGUCGAGGCCGGAGGCGAGCAUCUGGGAGGCGGUGGAGAUCUCGGACUCGAGGGCGUCGCCGCGGGCGGAGGCCUCGGCGAGCUUCGCGGCGGCGUCGUCGAGCUUCUUGGCGGCGUCGUCGGCGGAGCGGAGGGCGUCGUCGCGCUUCUUGAUGACGUCCUGGGCGAAGGCCUUGAGGCGGUGGAGGCGGGACUCGGAGUCGGCGCGGCCGUCCUCGGCGGCGCGGCGGGCGCGGCGCUCGGCCUCGAGCUCGGCGAGGAGGUCGCGGAUGCGCUGCUGCUGCUGCUGCUGCUGCUGCUGAUCAGAGGCUGCGGAGGAGGAGGUGGAGGAGGAAGAGGAGGCGGUGGUGAAGGAGGGAGGGGGGAGGAGGAGGGGGGCGGGGUCGUCGGCCUCCUCGACGUCGCUGAGGACGGCGGCGUCGUCGUCCUCGUCGGCCAUGGCGCGUCGCGGAGCGGAGGGGGACGCGGAGGAAGGUGGGAGGAAAGAAAGAGGGGGAUUGGUUUACUCACCAACCGGUCUUUAGUCGGUCUCGUAUUUAUUUAGGGAGAUGCUGCUUGUAAAUUUAAAAAGUGGUACACAAUUUACUUUGUUUUUCAUCCAAAAAUUUAUAAAAUUUUAUGUAAAUUUUAAUAUUUAUUAAAAAAAAUUGACCCUUGCUUGGAUAUAUAUACCAGUAGCACAGCAUUUUUUUUUUUUUGAAAAAAAUUGGGUGAGAAAUGCAUGGAGGUUUUGAAAUCGCCUCAACAUUUUAUUUUAAUUGAAUAUCGAGAAGCGUCCAUCAAAAUUCAAAAACUUCACAGUUGAGGGGGGGCCAUUUCACAAGCGACCAUAUUUGACGGCGACAUCAAAUGCAGAGGAGUAUAGCCGUAUAGGGCACGGACGGUCGGAGUACACUUGAUUUAAUGGUUACUAUACUAUAUAUUGCGGGGUCAAUUAGAGGGGUGGCCUAAGAUUAAAAAGGAUUGGUUUAUUUUUCUUUUCUGUCUUUUGGGAGAAACCAUAUAUUUUAAGUUGCAAAUUCAAAAUUACUUUGGCUAGUUUAUAUAAUACUAUGCUAAAUUAUAUGCCUACAUUUGCUUAAUUAGACAAUAGUGUACCAAAUCAAUAUGAUUAUUUGCUGAAUUUAAAUCAUUUUAAAGUAAAUAUUGAUUAAAAUUAAAAUUAGUUUGAUACUAACCUUGUACUCGACUAUAUAUGGAUCAUCAUGGACUGUAGAAUACUGCUCAACUAUACCCAGCCAUAAUAAUACCAUAUAUAAGCAAGCUACCAGCGAGGCAGCAACCAUCUACCAUAGAGAGCAUUACAAGAAAUUUAUUUAAAUUUAUUUAUAGCUUCAUUUACAUUGCACUCCAUCUAAAAGAUAAUACAAAUAUGGAAUUCUUUCUCAUAGUAGAUCCUCUCUCUACCACGGUGAAAAGCUUCAUAUCUAUAGUAGCGUUCCAUGAAAAGAAUUUCUCUACAAAUUGCUAAUCAAAGCAAAUGAUGAGAGCGAAAAAUGUUUACUCGCUUAAGAAUUGAAAAUCAUCUCGGUACUGGCCAUUCUAUCCGACCCAAUGAGUGAUAGACGGUCAUGAUAGACGUCUACGUGGCCAAACGCAUUUGAGCCUGGAGGGCACUCCAAAGCAGCCUCAAGAACACGAUGAUGAACGCCACGGGAAUCGAUUGCAUACCCGCCUUUAUGGUCGUGCCCGGCAAAGCAGACCUUUACGCAGUUGUGCCGGUGAACCACCGCCAUGACCUCUUCAUAGUUCCACAAAAGAGCCUCAGGGGCUGCCGCUUCGGGGUUUAAAGGGAGGUGGCAACAUAUGAUUACAUUUUGUUUACUCUUCUCACUUUCUUGAAGGAUGCUUUCAAGCCAAUCCAGUUGUUCUUUACCGAUUGCUCCAUUGAACAUUAGAUAUCUUCUCGCAACGCCAACCAAACCAUUCGGACUAUUCUUAUCAGCAUUCGGAUUCUUUUCCUGCAAGAACUUCAUUGCUGCUGAUGCAAUUGGGUGAUCCUGCGGCCAACCGAGGGCACUAAAGUCAUAGGCAUCAAGAACGAUGAUCCUAUAUUCAGGAGUCGGCGAGAAGUCAUAAUAUGCAUGGCCAUCAGAAGAGGGCAUCUUGAAUAGUGAGAUUAGUUUGCUGCGAGGAAGGUUGUAAAGGCAAUGGUUCCCGAUCAUGUGAUAGAUGGGACCAUUGAAUUUCUCGAAUUCAUGAAGAACUUUCUGUACUGACGCCAGCGACUUAUCUUUGGGGCAGAACCCGUCAACAAUGUCCCCAAAGUUUAUUGAGAAUUUGAGCUUCUUGUGAUCAUUCCAUUGAUUGACUGCCCUUUGAAGAACCAGAAUGCUGUGGCGGUAGAAUCUGGGGACACCUAGAAACGAGUGGCCAUCAGGAAUAUCGGCAUACUGGACAUCGGCAAUAACUCCAAAAGAGAAUAAUGGCUCCUUAGUAUGAGCAGUGGCUAACCCAUUAGCUGAUGCCAUCAUGGUUAGUGUGGUGAACAACAGAUUUCAAAAUUCUCGUUCCCUGCAAAGUAUUUGUUUGUUUGAGAUAAAUAGUUUUCGCAUGAAAAGAAAGGGCUCAAUUCAACAAACAAGUUGUGACGAGCAAAGUUACCUGCUGAAACCACAAAAAGGGAAAACUUCAGAAAUCCCCCCCGUGGUAUCGACUAAUUACAAAAAGAAGAAAAAGAAGAAGAAGAGAAGAAGCGAGAAAAAGAGAGAGCCAAAUCUUUUAAAAAAGAUACUACAAAGUGCUUGCUAACAUGUAAAACUCGCUUUGAAGCAAAGCAAUAGAAUAACAUGUGCCAGAAACUAACCAAGCCAUGAUGCAAGCCAUCAUUCUCAUUUUCUUAUGAUCAAGUAGUACAUAAUUAUUACAUCUAAGAUGAAAUCUGUCACCCAAUGUGGAUGAUAAGCAUCUUCUAUCCACACAAACCAUUUUCAUACUGCUUUUUUAUUUCAUGUUAACAUUAAGUUGACAUUUGGGAAUUUCACUUAUAUGUUUAUAUGAAUGCUAUAUAGCAACAUACACAGAUUAUCUGCUGCAAUUUUCUCUAGAGUACAAUAAUAUUAUUUAUUCUUAUAAAUAAUUAGAAAGGAUGUGUACAUUUGACCAUCCACAUCUGCGGUAAUAGGAGAUGCUAGGCUGCCAUUAAUUUGUAGUAUACAACUUGAUUUAAACUUGCAAACAUUAGUUCAAUCGUCGAGUCGAAACAACUAGGUUCUGAGUCAACUCCUGUUUGAAAGCUAGGUCCGAUUUACACAAUAUAGACCUAUACCCCAAACCAAGGCCUCAAUACAAUAACAUUUAAAGACCACUGUGAAACCAAAGAUGUUGUUCGCAGGAUCUCUCACUAAAUUAUAAGCUGGCGAGAGUGGAAGAUUAACAACCAAGGUUAGUAUAUAUGUUUACCCACAUGGUAUAAAACAUGGCAUCAGUUGCAAUUCCCAUACUUUUAAGUGCUAUAGAUCAAGAAUUUAAGUGCCGUAGCACGGGGUCGUGCUGGAAACUUGUCGGCACGGUAUAGCACGGUGCAUGCCGAGCCGUGCCGGUCAAAAAAAUUCUUGUAUGCCGACACAUAAUAGUAUGAAAUAUUUAUUUUUUUUAAAAACAAAAUAUUCUAUUUAUUUAUUAUGUCUUUUUAUCACAUCUUUUGAACUUUAUUGAGGAAAUUACUUACUAUUUUAAAAAAUAGAGGGUUUUGAGCUGUGCCAUCGGAACGGGUUCUGUACCGUACCAAUAUCUUGUUGGCACGGUACGGGCACGGUGGAUACGGCCCAUGCCGACGGAUACUUAAAACCUUGCUAUAGAUUAGAUAAAAUAGCUGGUGGUUUCAGUUUGUUAAUGCAUACUAACUUUGACGUUUAGUCAAGAUAUAUAUAAAACCUAAUAAAUAAAAAGUCUAUUAUCAAUUGAAAUGGAGUGUGCAAAUAGGGUUAGAUAAGCCAAACACAAGCAACGUUGGCCAUGAGCUCAAAACUCCGUAUCAAAUUCCAAGAAAACUCAAAGCUGCUUACUUGUAUUUCCUGUUUGUGAUUAGCCAAAUACUUUGCACCUCUUCUCACAGCUGAAUUGAAAUUGAACAUCUACAUACAUUUCCAAUCCUAGAUGAUACAUCUUAUACAUAUGCACGCGUGCAUAUAAGUAUUAUGUAUGUACGCAUAUUGAAUAUGACCUAAGGGUUUUCUCUUCAUGUAAUAUUAACCCACACAACACAAAGCCACCCCCUAAAUCUUACUUAUACUCUGAAAUGUUGGUAGAGAACAUUUCGGAGGCAACUAAAUGAUCCACUUUGCAUAUUUGCCUCCUUAGUGCGUAACAUAAUGAUAAUCAAACAUUAUAAGAAACCGAAGUUACGCAAACACGGACACUGCUGCGGCCGCAGAACACAACACGAUUCCGAUACGGCCGACUCGGCAGCUCAGAAAAAAUAGACACACAGGAGAGACACAGCAAAUAAGAUAGUACGCAAGCAAUCAAUUUACGAGUCUCGGCGAUUGCAUUGAACAGAAGCUAGUGAAAAUAUUAGCAAUAAUGCAGUGUCAACGCCAUGAAAGCAUUCAAUUAAAAGCUAGAGCUUCAAAUAAAAAUUAGAGAAUAAUCGAAACAAGAAUUAUAUACUCUUAAGCAAUUUAGAGAAUGCUUCAAACAAAACUCAAAAAAGUUCAAGCAUAAACCUUUCAAACCCUAAAUUAAAGCAAUAGAAGAUUGUAUACCCCAAUAUGAGGACGUCGCGGCACGGUGAAAUCCAAAAAUCAAUUGAAAUCCUACAUGAAAAAGGAGAGAAAAAAAAAAAAAAAAAGGAAUGAGAAUCUCAAACCCUAAUAAUUCUAGAUUUUAAGAUCGGAUUGGGGGAAAAGAGAUUUCACCGGAAAGCAGUAGCGAGAUUCGCACGAGACGCGACUCAUUUUACGCAGCUCGAAUAUUACGGAUUGGCCGAUUCGUACGAUUUUUCGGCGUUUCGCGGCCGCGCUUGCAAAAGCGCUUUCCCAAGAAGCCGUUUCCGCCGACGAACCCUCUCUGCACCCGACCCGAUUAAAACGGUGCCCUUCGGGUUCGGGUCGAGCCCCACCAACCCCACCGGUUCAACAAGCAUAUUCGUUGCUCCCAUAUUCCUUAUUCCAUAAAUAUAAUAAUUAAUAAUUAAUAAAUAGAAAAGAGAAUGGUGAAAAUGCAUACACGACCCCUCAACUACAGAGAAUUUUAGAUUGGUUCCUCAAUAUUAUAACUUUUUUUGAACUUUUUAAGUUAUUCUGUUUAUUUAGUUAAAAAUUUUAUUUUAUUUAAUAACAUUAUUGAUCAUUAAUCACUAAUUAUUAUAAAAUUUUGAUAAAAUAAUUAAAAAUAAUAAUAAAAUUUGAUAAAAUUAUCUAAUUUAUUUGGUUAAAACUAUUUAAUUGUAAAAAAAUUUAAAAUUGAGAAAAAAAUUAACAAUAAACUUU